GAUAAGGAGAUAGUGAUGGUGAUUACAAGCACAUAUCUUAAAUAAAUGUGUGGAAAAACAGUUUCUGAAUCUCCUCAAU